GAAGAAAAAUAAGAAGGAAAGAGGUUGUAUGGCCGAGAGAGGAGAUAAGGGGGAGAGAGAGGAAGAUUUUCCUAUAUAUAAAAGUUGUGAUCUAAGAAGAUCCAACGGUCCAAUCUUCAAUCCGUCUUCGGUAACGUGAUCUACGAAGCCCGAUCUACGUUUCUACCGAUCGUUUUGAGGCUUUGUGUUAUUUGGAGCUUGCAAAGAUUCUCCAAACACCGGGUAAUAUUUGGAUAAAUUUUUGGACAUUGAUGUUUUGGUUGCAGGUUCUGCGGAUAUAGAUAAUGACUCGACCACCUAGCUUAUGAGAUGCUAUGAUUGGAGUACAUCGUGACAGUCAUAAGUCACAGACUCAUGGGUAGUCUGCAUUUGAGUAUUUUAUUUAUGGCUCGUGUCAUACGUGACAUAUGUAUUUUUUAAGCCUGUAUUUUUGUAUGUAAUUAGUGUAAUAUGUUUUAUAAGCUUUAAUCAGUUAGACAUGUAAAUGGCUCUUGUUGUUGAUAGCAGUUAUAUAUUAGAUGUAUUUCCGCUAUUGAUA